rnacentral:lncRNA from 1 species
UGAUAAGAGACAAGAAUUCCUUUUCUCUCCAUAUUUGCCAGGUAGACACCAUUUUCCUGAGUGGUGGACGAUCGCCGCGACGCCGCACACGUGCGACAAUUGCUACAGUGUUUUCCUGCAUAGUUUUUUUUCCUUUCGUUUUUUUUAUGAUUUUUUUCAAAGUUAUAUUUAUUGGUUUUAUUUUUUUAAUAUUGAGUUGGUUGAGAAUUACAAUUGUAUAUUUCCUCACAAAACACUAUAGAUUGCUGCAGUGUUUCCCUACAUGAUUUUUUUUCCUUUUGUUUUUCUUAUGAUUUUUUUUAAAAUUAUCUUUGUCUAUUUUAUUUUUUUAAUAUUAAGCUGGUUGAGAAUUUAGUUUUGUAGUUUAAUUUUUCUUGGAAACAUUGUGGAU